rnacentral:rRNA from 1 species
CCUACGGGAGGCAGCAGUGAGGAAUUUUGCGCAAUGGGGGCAACCCUGACGCAGCAACGCCGCGUGAGUGAAGAAGGCCUUUGGGUCGUAAAGCUCUGUCAACAGGGAAGAAGUUACAAUUGUUUAACAGAUGAUUGUAUUGACGGUACCUGUGGAGGAAGCGCCGGC